CUGAAAUUUUCCCAUAUAAUAACAUUAACAAACAACAGUCCAAUUGACCUACUUAGGCCCAACAACAAUCAGCCCAACAGCAGCCCAUACCACACCCUUCAUCAGCCCAACACCAAACCACUAAACCCAACAGCCCAAAUGGCUGACCCGGCCCAUAUGUUCCUUUCCUUUUUUAAUAAUCAGCCUCGACAACGUAACAACCGACAACAACAGCUUUAACGCUGUGACAGAAAAACAACGACAAAAACCAAUCCCAACAAUAACGUUCACGGAACCAAAACGGCGUUCAACAAAUCAAUAGCAAAAUCUCAAAUCGGCCAAAGUUCAGAAAGCUUUCAUCUUUUCUGCUUGGGAUUCACUAAUUUGGGCAAAAAAUUAAUUGUUCAAAUUCUGUUGGUUAGAAUCAACUCGCGGUGGUGGAAUUUCAUUCGAUUAAAAGCUCGUCGUCCUGGUGUCGCUGCUCGAAAACAGUCCUUUUGGACUCUUUCCUUCCAUCCUUGUCGAGUUGAAUCCGACAUCGAGUCAAAACCUCAAGACGAAGUCCUAAAAGGACUUUUAGUGAACCAGUAUACAGUGAUAUACACAUUAUGGAGGCCGGUAUAUGCGUGAUACACGUUAAAAAUAAGAAAAGGGAGCAGAUGAUGAUGAUGGACGACUUCAUGUCGUGCAUAUAUGACCGAAAUACAUUCAUAUAUACACUGGAUAUACACAAAAACGCGGGGAAAUGUCUGUAAUAUACAGCUGAUAUACAUGCAAAAAAAAAUGGACCUACAGUCCAUAAAAUGAGAGGCCCAAAGAUUGGCAGCUCACUCUUGGGCCAAUAAAAGGGGCCCAACUCUAACUUUUAAUCUCCUUUUUCUUAUAAUUUACAAUUUAUGCUUGUCUGUUUGUAUUAUUUUUUGGAAAAAUUUCAGAAAUAGCAACUCUGUAGCUUUAAUUAUAACUUUUAUAGCAACAGUUUCAUAAUUAUGAAAAA